rnacentral:rRNA from 1 species
CCUACGGGAGGCAGCAGUGAGGAAUAUUGGUCAAUGGUCGGAAGGCUGAACCAGCCAUGCCGCGUGAAGGUCAGUGCCCCAUGGGCGUUAAAAUUCCUUUGUUCGGGAGCAAUAAUGGUCACGUGUGGCCAGACGAGAGUACCGUACGAAUAAGCAUCGGCUAACUCCGUGCCAGCAGCCGAGGUAAUACGGGGGAUGCAAGCGUUAUCCGGAUUUAUUGGGUUUAAAGGGUGCGUAGGCUGUGAGGUAAGUCAGCGGUGAAAAGCCCCCGGUCAACGGGGUGAAGUGCCAUUGAUACUGCCUUGCUGGAGUGCGGAUGCCGUGGGAGGAAUGUGUGGUGUAGCGGUGAAAUGCAUAGAUAUCACACAGAACACCGAUUGCGAAGGCAUCUCACGAAUCCGCGAUUGACGCUGAUGCACGAAAGCGUGGGUAUCAAACAGGAUUAGAUACCCUAGUAGUC